rnacentral:misc_RNA from 1 species
AACGCAACUUGCGCCCUCUGGUAUUCCGGAGGGCAUGCCUGUUUGAGUGUCAUGUAGACUCAUCUAAUCAGAUUUUUCUGAUCAAGAUGGAUUUGGAGGUCUUUGCCUUUCUGGGCUCCUCUUAAAAACAUUGUGCAGACGUAAUAAGUUUCGUCGUACGCGCAUUCGCCUGCAAAGGCAACUACUUGUACUCUGACCUCAAAUCAGGUAGGGCUACCCGCUGAACUUAA